rnacentral:rRNA from 1 species
CAAUAGCGUAUAUUAAAGUUGUUGCGGUUAAAAGCUCGUAGUUGGAUUUCUGCCGAGGACGACCGGUCCGCCCUCUGGGUGAGUAUCUGGUUCGGCCUGGGCAUCUUCUUGGAGAACGUAUCUGCACUUGACUGUGUGGUGCGGUAUCCAGGACUUUUACUUUGAAAAAUUAGAGUGUUCAAAGCAGGCGUCGGCUUGAAUACAUUAGCAUGGAAUAAUGGAAUAGGACUUUGGUUCUAUUUUGUUGGUUUCUAGGACCGAAGUAAUGAUUAAUAGGGACAGUUGGGGGCAUUAGUAUUUAAUUGUCAGAGGUGAAAUUCUUGGAUUUAUGAAAGACUAACUACUGCGAAAGCAUUUGCCAAGGAUGUUUUCAUUAAUCAAGAACGAAAGUUAGGGGAUCGAAGACGAUCAGAUACCAU